GGAGAUGCAGCUGAAGGAGGCCAAGCACAUCGCUGAGGAUUCAGACCGCAAAUAUGAAGAGGUGGCCAGGAAGCUGGUGAUCCUGGAAGGAGAGCUGGAGCGCUCAGAAGAGAGAGCUGAGGUGGCUGAGAGUAAAUGUGGGGACCUAGAGGAGGAGCUGAAAAUUGUUACCAACAACUUGAAAUCCCUGGAAGCCCAAGCGGACAAGUAUUCCACCAAAGAAGAUAAAUAUGAAGAGGAGAUCAAACUGCUGGAGGAGAAGCUAAAGGAGGCUGAGACCCGAGCAGAGUUUGCUGAAAGGUCGGUGGCAAAGUUGGA
rnacentral:misc_RNA from 1 species